UACGGAGGGGGCUAGCGUUGUUCGGAAUUACUGGGCGUAAAGCGUACGUAGGCGGUGACUCAAGUCAGAGGUGAAAGCCCGGAGCUCAACUCCGGAACUGCCUUUAAAACUGCAUCGCUUGAAUCCGGGAGAGGUGAGUGGAAUUCCGAGUGUAGAGGUGAAAUUCGUAGAUAUUCGGAAGAACACCAGUGGCGAAGGCGACUUACUGGACACAUAUUGACGCUGAGGUGCGAAAGCGUGGGGAGCAAACAGG
rnacentral:rRNA from 1 species